rnacentral:rRNA from 1 species
CCCUUAGAUGUUCUGGGCAGCACGCGCGCUACUAUGGUCUUCGCAAACGGAUGCAUUCUCGAAGGAGAAUGCCAAUCUUGGAAUCUAUGCCUUGGUCGGGACAGUUGCUUGCAAUUUUUCGACUCGAACCAGGAAUUCCUUGUAAUCGUGAUUCAUCACAUCACGAUGAAUACGUCCCUGCCCUUUGUACACACCGCCCGUCGCUCCUACCGAUCGAAGAGUUAGGUGAAUUGUUUUGAUCGAUAAGAUUUGACUAUGGUCAACUCUCGUUGUGAAAUUCUGUGAAUCUGACUGUUUAGAGGAAGGAAAAGUCGUAACA